CCUACGGGAGGCAGCAGUGAGGAAUAUUGGUCAAUGGGCGAGAGCCUGAACCAGCCAAGUAGCGUGCAGGAUGACGGCCCUAUGGGUUGUAAACUGCUUUUAUAUAGGGAUAAAGUGCACUACGUGUAGUGUUUUGUAGGUACUAUAUGAAUAAGGACCGGCUAAUUCCGUGCCAGCAGCCGCGGUAAU
rnacentral:rRNA from 1 species